UAAUACUGUCUGGUAAUGCCGU
rnacentral:miRNA from 38 species